GGGUGCGAUCAUACCAGCACUAAUGCACCGGAUCCCAUCAGAACUCCGCAAUUAAGCGUGCUUGCGCGAGAGUAGUACUAGGAUGGGUGACCUCCUGGGAAGUCCUCGUGUUGCACCCC
rnacentral:rRNA from 1 species